rnacentral:lncRNA from 1 species
UGGGGCUCUACCGUAUGAAUCAUAGAGCUGUCUAAGAUUUGGGUUUUGAAAGGCUCGCCGAAGAAGGGGCACACACGGACGUUCCAGCAAGCUUUAUUGGGGCGGCAGUCUGCAGCCUGCGGGGCUGACUCACAGAAUGGAGACCAGCAGCUUCAUGGGCUCAGCUGGAAGCUUAUGCAGGUGUCUUGCAGGAGACAUCUGGAAUUAAUGGACCCAUCAUUAUCCUGAGAGUUCUUUGUCUUCUUCAUAUUCAUGUUGACGUCGAACCACAAGCCAAGUAAAGAAUGAUAGUUUGAAGACAUCUGGAGUCACAUGCCUCUUGGGCUGCAGAAAUAAUGGAACCACUUAUGAGAUCUAUUGCAUCCUGGAUGGAGGAGACAUGUACAAGGUUCAGGUCAGCUGUGAGGCCUCAGUGGCCUUUGAGGACUGGCAUUUGAAGAUUUUCAAAUAAAAAAAGAACAUACAAAACAUCAUGAGGUGCCCUUAGACUGUAGCAGCUGUUUCUCUCUUUACAGUAAAGACAAGAGAGCAGACAAAGCAGUCUUUGCAGAAAGGACCAAAACAUUUUAUCAGAUCUUGAAUGUCCCUCAAAGGCUGAUAAGUUAAAGGCUUGGACACCUGCCUGUGCGCGAGAGAGGUGGUGGAAACUUCAGAACUGGCACUCAGUGGGAGAGAGUGUGUGAUAAACUUGGGAGAUCAUACACUGCAGUCGUGCCACUGGGGAAAAGACAGAGGAAAGGGGAAAGGGACAAGGAGGAAGAGAAGAAAAGGAGGAGGAAGAGAAGAAAAGGAGGAGAAAGAGCAGGAGGGAAAGAAGGCCCUGCCCCAUCGCUAAUGGAUGGUCCUAAGAGCCACACACACGACACCAUGAAGUCCUCACUGGCCACUGGAUGAAGGAAGACUGGCAGAGAAAGAGUUAGCACAACUGCUUGAUUGUUAGCCAGGAGAAAGCUGCCUCUUAUCUGUUCACUGGACUCUGAAAGAACAUAGGGCAAAGAAGACAGAGGGGCUGGAGGAAGAAGAAUCUUCAUUUAAAUCCGGGCUCCGUUCUUGAGA